rnacentral:misc_RNA from 1 species
CUGCUGCACGAGCUACAGCUACAAGCGGUGGUGGGCGCAGGAGGCAGUGCCGUCGUCGAAGUUCUGGUAGUAGCUAUGCAGGUCAUACCCAAACCUCACCGCGGUUCGCCUCGGCCGCGCCGCGCGUCUUCUCCAAGAGCGCCUCAACCUCGACAGCACAGCCGCUUCACCGCAGCAGCUGGCCGGCGGCCGCCGCUCCUGGCGUGGACGAGCCUCCCGCCCAAGCCGCUGCCCCCGGUGUACGGGCCUAGCAGAGACGCCGCCGCCAUGAUCGUUCACUCGGUCGGUUCACAGUUCUCACAGGUCACAGGUCACGGACGCUCUUGCCACUAA